UACGUAGGGUGCGAGCGUUGUCCGGAAUUAUUGGGCGUAAAGAGCGCGUAGGCGGUCCGAUAAGUCGGCUGUGAAAGUCAGGGGCUCAACCCUUGGAAGCCGGCCGAUACUGUCGGACUAGAGUCCGGAAGAGGCGAGUGGAAUUCCCGGUGUAGCGGUGAAAUGCGCAGAUAUCAGGAGGAACACCGGUGGCGAAGGCGGGUCUCUGGGCCGAUACUGACGCUGAGGAGCGAAAGCGUGGGGAGCGAACAGG
rnacentral:rRNA from 1 species